ACAAAAGCGAUGAAAGAAAAAGUAGUGCAGUUGAACCAUACAGAGAGAGUGACAGAUGCUGGAAGCCACUUAUGGGAAGAUUACAUGAAGACCAUUCUUGAGCUGUACGUGAAAUCAAUCAAGCGUUACCGUGUAGCUGCGUUAAAGCUAUAAGGAGUCGGUGAAUAUACGAACUCCGGAGUGAAAUAUAAGGUGGAACCGUGUAAAUUAUGCACCCUUAGG
rnacentral:ncRNA from 1 species